rnacentral:lncRNA from 1 species
GCCCAGAUCCCCAUAAGUCAGCGAUGAGGGGGGCCGAGCAGGGGCUGCCCGUUAGACGGCCGCAGAGUCCCAGCCCCCAGCCCUGCUCACCUUUCUUACCUCUCUGGCCCCGUCGGCAUUUGAGCCUGGGACCCCAGACGAAAGGAUACGCUUCCUUUUAGAACCCCUGCCAAUCUGAGGACGGGGCCACCCCACAGACGCCGUGGCUCAGCAAGCAGACCAAUGGCCGAGGAGUCUGGCAAGGGGCGCUUGAUGAGAGUGGAGGUUGUAAAUCACCCUCCAUGCAAUGGUUCAUCAUAAAGGAUAUGGAGCAAAAUUAGAGGAGGCACGAGAAGGAAAGCCGGUGAUGAACAAGGAAAGUGCCUGGUUGAAGCUAGCUUGCAAUCCCAAAGUCAGAAGGUUGCCUGGGAAGCCAUGAAACAAAGCCAAAUCAAGGCAAAGCAGACACAUGGAGAUUUUGAGACUGAGAAGAGGAAAACUGAGGACAUUCAUGUGAGAUGGUUUCAAGUUUCCCUUA